rnacentral:misc_RNA from 1 species
UUAACUAUUAUAUAGUACUCAGACGUCACUAAAAACAAGAGUUGUGGUCCUCUGGCGGGCGCGCAGCAGCCGAAGCCGCUGGCCUACAGGCGGCCCGCCAAAGCAACGAGGGUAGUUUAUUCAAGGGUUACCUAGGUAUUGCUGACAUCACGCGAGGGUUGCCCCUAUGUACGCGAACGACUAGGUUUAUUAAUGAUCCUUCCGCAGGUUCACCUACGGAAA